rnacentral:lncRNA from 1 species
AUGAUUAUAACUAAGGAACGAAAGUAUUGGAGUGAAAUUAAAAAAAAAAAAGAUUACUUGCAUACAACAUAUUCAAAUUAUGCUCACCACUGUUUGGAUGGACUAACAUAUGCCCAACAUAUUAUUCUUGUUUAGACGCAAGAAAAAAUAAAUAAAUUUUAGCGAAUUUAGAUAAUGUUUGGUUCGACGAAAAUGAAGACCGAAAAUAGUAUUUUCAAAAUGUGGCGUAUCGUUUGGUUUGCGAAAGUAAAUUCGUAAGUCACUUUGAAUUAUAAUUAUUAUUUUUU